rnacentral:lncRNA from 1 species
CUAUGCUCAUUGCUCAAGCUUAAUACAGUUGAUCAAGUACUUACAAUCAUGAACUCAGUUCAUAGUUUUCUAACUUGCUAGCUCAACAAGCUUGCAAACUAACGUUGGAACUUGGGAGAGAGUACAAAUUAAGGGCCAUAUAUCAUGAGUUCAUGACUAACAUGUCCUGGCUGAUUUCUUCUAUUCAUGCACUUGAUGAACAGAUGUGCUCUGUCCGCAUCGAGCCCACUAUACCACGUACAACGCCGAAAUACCGUCGGAUGUCGGCGCCCAUGGCAUUGGAUAGCACUUUUUUUGUGUCAAUUCUCACCAUUCUCCUUUGUUUUGCGGAUUGAUAUCGACGACAGCGAGCAGCUAAGAAAUCUGUGCAACCUGUUCACCAGGAAAACGGCAGUUGCGACGACAAAUGAUCGAUUGAUUGCUGUAUUUACCGAUCGACCAGAUUAGGAGUUAAUUAUGACCCAUGAUAGCUACGGAUCGAUCAGAAAGACAUGCAAAUUGUUGAAAAUAGAAAGAGGACUGAAAUAAUGAAUCUAAUAAUUCUUUUUAUUGAUUGAAUGAAUUGUUUGGUUAUAUAUUUAUAAAGGGAAAAGGACAUGCUCAAAGGGCAUCAUGUCCCUUGAGAGUUGGCCCCUUCAUGGAAGGUCCACACCCUUUCAUGUCCUCUAUAAUUAUCUAUAAUAUUAAUUGAUCACUAAUAAUGUAUUUCACAACACUCCCC